GGCCCAGAAUAUGGAGGGACAUGCCUCAGGCAUGAAAGUUAGAGCACUGAAGGUGCGAGGAGACAUUUCACGCCAGUGGGGAUGUUUCACAGACACCUGCCCU
rnacentral:pre_miRNA from 1 species